CCUACGGGUGGCAGCAGUGAGGAAUAUUGGUCAAUGGACGAGAGUCUGAACCAGCCAAGUAGCGUGAAGGAUGACUGCCCUAUGGGUUGUAAACUUCUUUUAUAUGGGAAUAAAACGUUCCACGUGUGGGAUUUUGUAUGUACCAUAUGAAUAAGGAUCGGCUAACUCCGUGCCAGCAGCCGCGGUAAUACGGAGGAUCCGAGCGUUAUCCGGAUUUAUUGGGUUUAAAGGGAGCGUAGGUGGAUUGUUAAGUCAGUUGUGAAAGUUUGCGGCUCAACCGUAAAAUUGCAGUUGAAACUGGCAGUCUUGAGUACAGUAGAGGUGGGCGGAAUUCGUGGUGUAGCGGUGAAAUGCUUAGAUAUCACGAAGAACUCCGAUUGCGAAGGCAGUUCACUGGACUGCAACUGAUACUGAGGCUCGAAAGUGUGGGUAUCAAACAGGAUUAGAUACCCCUGUAGUC
rnacentral:rRNA from 1 species